UACGUAGGGGUGCGAGCGUUGUCCGGAAUUACUGGGCGUAAAGAGCUCGUAGGUGGUUUGUCGCGUUGUUCGUGAAAACUCACAGCUUAACUGUGGGCGUGCGGGCGAUACGGGCAGACUGGAGUACUGCAGGGGAGACUGGAAUUCCUGUGUAGCGGUGGAAUGCGCAGAUAUCAGGAGGAACACCGGUGGCGAAGGCGGGUCUCUGGGCAGUAACUGACGCUGAGGAGCGAAAGCGUGGGGAGCGAACAGG
rnacentral:rRNA from 1 species